GAUGCAAACUGCGAAUACCGGAGAAUGUUAUCACGGGAGACACACGGCGGGUGCUAACGUCCGUCGUGAAGAGGGAAACAACCCAGACCGCCAGCUAAGGUCCCAAAGUCAUGGUUAAGUGGGAAACGAUGUGGGAAGGCCCAGACAGCCAGGAUGUUGGCUUAGAAGCAGCCAUCAUUUAAAGAAAGCGUAAUAGCUCACUGGUCGAGUCGGCCUGCGCGGAAGAUGUAACGGGGCUAAACCAUGCACCGAAGCUGCGGCAGCGAACGUAUCACC
rnacentral:rRNA from 1 species